AACGAACGCUGGCGGCACGCCUAACACAUGCAAGUCGAGCGCGACCUUCGGGUUGAGCGGCGGACGGGUUAGUAACGCGUGGGAACAUGCCCUUCUCUAAGGAAUAGCCUCUGGAAACGGAGAGUAAUACCUUAUACGCCCUUCGGGGGAAAGAUUUAUCGGUGAAGGAUUGGCCCGCGUUAGAUUAGAUAGUUGGUGGGGUAACGGCCUACCAAGUCGACGAUCUAUAGCUGGUUUGAGAGGAUGAUCAGCAACACUGGGACUGAGACACGGCCCAGACUCCUACGGGAGGCAGCAGUGGGGAAUCUUAGACAAUGGGCGCAAGCCUGAUCUAGCGAUGCCGCGUGAGUGAUGAAGGCCUUAGGGUCGUAAAGCUCUUUCGCCAGGGAUGAUAAUGACAGUACCUGGUAAAGAAACCCCGGCUAACUCCGUG
rnacentral:rRNA from 1 species